rnacentral:rRNA from 1 species
GAUGAACGCUGGCGGCGUGCCUAAUACAUGCAAGUCGAGCGAACAGAUGAGAAGCUUGCUUCUCUGAUGUUAGCGGCGGACGGGUGAGUAACACGUGGGUAACCUACCUAUAAGACUGGGAUAACUCCGGGAAACCGGGGCUAAUACCGGAUAAUAUUUUGAACCGCAUGGUUCAAUAGUGAAAGACGGUUUCGGAUGUCACUUAUAGAUGGACCCGCGCCGUAUUAGCUAGUUGGUAAGGUAACGGCUUACCAAGGCGACGAUACGUAGCCGACCUGAGAGGGUGAUCGGCCACACUGGAACUGAGACACGGUCCAGACUCCUACGGGAGGCAGCAGUAGGGAAUCUUCCGCAAUGGGCGAAAGCCUGACGGAGCAACGCCGCGUGAGUGAUGAAGGUCUUCGGAUCGUAAAACUCUGUUGUUAGGGAAGAACAAAUUUGUUAGUAACUGAACAAGUCUUGACGGUACCUAACCAGAAAGCCAUGGCUAACUACGUGCCAGCCGCCGCGGUAA